rnacentral:rRNA from 1 species
ACACGACUACAUUAGAUACCCGUGUAGUCCCAGCCCUAAACGAUGCGCGUUAGGUGUAUCGGUGACCACGAGUCACCGAGGUGCCGAAGGGAAACCGUGAAACGUGCCGCCUGGGAAGUACGGUCGCAAGGCUGAAACUUAAAGGAAUUGGCGGGGGAGCACCACAACGGGUGGAGCUUGCGGUUUAAUUGGACUCAACGCCGGGAAGCUCACCGGAUAAGACAGCGGAAUGAUUGCCGGGCUGAAGACCCUGCAUGACCAGCUG